AACUCAGCAAGGUUCUUUUGCCAAGAUCUUACCAAAGCAACUUGUGGUUGCUCACAGGGACGAUGAUGAGUUGUGAUGUUCCAACAAACCCUAAUUUGGUUCUUUGCCAGAACUAAUUGAACAUUAAAAAAAAAAUCAGUUCAUUGAUCGUUAUUGUGGAACACAUUCAGGCCUUGGAACAAUUUUCAAUCUUGAGAAGUUCCUCAUGCGCUAAGUGACAGUUUUUCUUGCUUGCCAAUUAACAUAAAGCUUGUUUUCAUUGGUACUUCUUAAAAUUGUUUUUAGUGCAAUUUUUUUUUUAUA